UACGUAGGGUGCAAGCGUUAAUCGGAAUUACUGGGCGUAAAGCGUGCGCAGGCGGUUAUGUAAGACAGGUGUGAAAUCCCAGGGCUUAACCUUGGAACUGCAUUUGUGACUGCAUAGCUAGAGUACGGUAGAGGGGGAUGGAAUUCCGCGUGUAGCAGUGAAAUGCGUAGAUAUGCGGAGGAACACCGAUGGCGAAGGCAAUCCCCUGGACCUGUACUGACGCUCAUGCACGAAAGCGUGGGGAGCAAGCAGG
rnacentral:rRNA from 1 species